UACAGAGGUCCCAAGCGUUGUUCGGAUUCACUGGGCGUAAAGGGUGCGUAGGCGGUCGGGUAAGUCUGAUGUGAAAUCUCACAGCUUAACUGUGAAACUGCAUUGGAUACUAUUCGGCUUGAGAGUUGGAGGGGGGACUGGAAUUCUUGGUGUAGCAGUGAAAUGCGUAGAUAUCAGGAGGAACACCUGUGGUGUAGACGGCGACCUGGGCCAAUAUUGACGCUGAGGUGCGAAAGCGUGGGGAGCAAACAGG
rnacentral:rRNA from 1 species